UCGUAAAGCUCUGUUGUUAAAGAAGAACACGUAUGAGAGUAACUGUUCAUACGUUGACGGUAUUUAACCAGAAAGUCACGGCUAACUACGUGCCAGCAGCCGCGGUAAUACGUAGGUGGCAAGCGUUAUCCGGAUUUAUUGGGCGUAAAGAGAGUGCAGGCGGUUUUCUAAGUCUGAUGUGAAAGCCUUCGGCUUAACCGGAGAAGUGCAUCGGAAACUGGAUAACUUGAGUGCAGAAGAGGGUAGUGGAACUCCAUGUGUAGCGGUGGAAUGCGUAGAUAUAUGGAAGAACACCAGUGGCGAAGGCGGCUACCUGGUCUGCAACUGACGCUGAGACUCGAAAGCAUGGGUAGCGAACAGGAUUAGAUACCCUGGUAGUCCAUGCCGUAAACGAUGAGUGCUAGGUGUUGGAGGGUUUCCGCCCUUCAGUGCCGGAGCUAACGCAUUAAGCACUCCGCCUGGGGAGUACGACCGCAAGGUUGAAACUCAAAGGAAUUGACGGGGGCCCGCACAAGCGGUGGAGCAUGUGGUUUAAUUCGAAGCUACGCGAAGAACCUUACCAGGUCUUGACAUCUUGCGCCAACCCUAGAGAUAGGGCGUUUCCUUCGGGAACGCAAUGACAGGUGGUGCAUGGUCGUCGUCAGCUCGUGUCGUGAGAUGUU
rnacentral:rRNA from 2 species